CGGCGAGUGAAGCGGCAACAGCUCAGAUUUGAAAUCUGGCCCUUACGGGGUCCGAGUUGUAAUCUGUAGAGGAUGCUUUUGGCGACGCGCCUUCCGAGUCCCCUGGAACGGGGCGCCAGAGAGGGUGAGAGCCCCGUAUGGUUGGACGCCGAACCUCUGUAAAGCUCCUUCGACGAGUCGAGUAGUUUGGGAAUGCUGCUCAAAAUGGGAGGUAAAUUUCUUCUAAAGCUAAAUACCGGCCAGAGACCGAUAGCGCACAAGUAGAGUGAUCGAAAGAUGAAAAGCACUUUGAAAAGAGGGUCAAAUAGCACGUGAAAUUGCUGAAAGGGAAGCGCUUGUGACCAGACUUGCGCCCGGUUGAUCAUCCAGCGUUCUCGCUGGUGCACUCUGCCGGGUUCAGGCCAGCAUCGGCUCUCCCAGGGGGAUAAAGGUCGCGGGAACGUAGCUCUCUCCGGGGAGUGUUAUAGCCCGUGGCGGAAUGCCCUUAGGGGGGGCCGAGGCUCGCGUUCGCAAGGAUGCUGGCGUAAUGGUCACCAGCGACCCGUCUUGAAACACGGACCAAGGAGUCAAGCAUUAGGGCGAGUCUUUGGGUGUAAAACCCGCAGGCGCAAUGAAAGUGAACGGAGGUGAGAGCUUCGGCGCAUCAUCGACCGAUCCUGAUGUUCUCGGAUGGAUUUGAGUAAGAGCCUUACCGCUUGGACCCGAAAGAUGGUGAACUAUGCCUGAAUAGGGUGAAGCCAGAGGAAACUCUGGUGGAGGCUCGCAGCGGUUCUGACGUGCAAAUCGAUCGUCAAAUUUGGGCAUGGGGGCGAAAGACUAAUCGAACCAUUAACUACUACUAGGUGGUUAAGAGGUCCGGUCGAAAAGACCAGGCCUAGUUAUCAGCGUCAUGAGCGCUAGUAGCGACACUGUCAAACUGCCGGGGACUGCCUGAUUAACACCUAAGCUACCGCUGACCCGUCGAAAGACGGGCUCGGCACCGGGCCUAACGAGCCUGGGUACGGUAAAAAUGCUUAGGUUAGGGCAUAUCCGCAGCCAACUCCUCGUGGCCCCCGCCCUGCCCAGGGUGGGACCGGUGGAGGCAGUUCACAGACUAGAUGGCAGUGGGUCCGGAGGCGACGUAGGAGCCGCCGGGCUUAAGAUAUAGUCGUUGGCGCCCGAGAAA
rnacentral:rRNA from 1 species